CCUGCACCGCGGCCUAGAAAAGCUUCUUAGGGUUAUUUUAAUUUAACAUAAAAAAAUAAAUAAAAAUCACAGGAGCCACAUUAUUCAUAACUAACAACAGGGAUCGAUUGCACUGGUCGACAGGCACAUUUUGAUAAGGAUAAAAUAUUGCUGCGCGCGCGUUUGAAUUUCUAUUUAUUUUUUGUGUGUGUGUGACGGCUUUGUGGGGAGCUGACGAGCAGAGCAGUUGGCGCCACUUUCAAAUUCUCCACUGACACAGAAUGAGAGUCCGGCUUCAAAUACAUUUACACAUCACUUAAUCUCUCUUUUUUCAUAAUUAUAGUAAGAUGAGGAUAUCGCAACAAAAUUUCUGUUUUGGACAGUUUUUCCUCGGAAGUGUGUAAUUUGUGACCUUCUGCAGGCCUGAAGGUAAGAUGCUGUUCAGCUUCUCACACUGUCCCUCUUGAUCAUUUUCCUGUUAUUACAAACAUUUUGGAUGGUUUGAGGAAUGGAGCUGCUCAUAUGUUUCUAUCUAGAACACUGCACUAGAAUCAAUAAAUAUGACACUAUAGUUUAGGAACUUCUUGUAACUGUUAAAAAACAACAACAAAGUAUACAUUAUAUACAUUAAGAUAUGUUUUUGCUGUGUGAAGAUAUGACAUACUGCAGUUGUUUAACUGUUUUUGCUCUUUAGAUCUGGUGUUCUUGUGUUUCGAUGAGCAUGGUGAUUUUCAUUAUGACCUUUUUUCUACUGUGUUCUAAGCAGGUGGCCCACUGGUUUAUCAUGGAUAGAAUAUAGUGAUAUUUCAUACCUAGAAAUCUUUAAUUGUUUAAAUGUUUGCGUUAGUUUGCAAAGUUCGUGUAAAGCAAUAAUACUUAUGUGUUCUGAGUCAGUCACACCACUGACUGACACCAAAUGUGCUAUUAACCACCCAGCUAAAUUUGUAUGGUUAAACAAAUCGGCAAAUAUAUAAAAUUAGGUUUCAAAAUAAUGACAAAAUAAGGAACUCUCUCUGCUCAGAGACGCUGGGGGCGUGUCUGCUGAGGGCGCUGAAACCACGCCCACUCUAAUGCUGCAGCACAGUGACACUAAGCACACUGCUAGCUCCAUGCUAGCAUUCUUAUUCCAUGCAUAUUUGAGCUAGCAGAGCCAAAGUCAAGUUCAGAGCCUCAGGACAAUUUCUUAUUGAUCUGGAAUGAGUAGAAAUUUACAGUUUUGUUAAUCAAAUGGCCUGUCUGUCUAUCAAGGACUCAAGAAACAAGUCGCACUGUUUAUAUAGUCAUAUUACUGAUGUUUAUUAAUACUGGAAAACAAAGUAUAAUGAUAUCACACUAAUAAUAAACUAACUUUAUGAUAACUAGUGUGUGGCAACAAAUGUGUUACUGCCUUACUUUAACCAGUUUGAGUCCUUGUCUUCAAGAGGACACACACAUUAGAGAGAGAGAGAGAGGUAGUGAGCAAUGCUGGCAGUGCAGGAGAGUUAAGGACGGGGAGAGAGAUGGUCAGUUCGGCCUCAUUGUAAAGUGACACUGGAUUAUCAGUGAAUUCCUGUUGUCUCCCCGGUGAAAGUUUGUAAAACUAAUCGGAGUGAAAUGGUCACUGAAAAGGCAGGUGUCAGCUCUCCAACAGUGUGGCUCUUCACAAAAUUUAUCCACUUCCUCUCACUGCCUUUGAAAGUUUAAAUAAGGCAUCGACCGAGCUGUUCUGCAAACUCUGGCAUCCAGGGAAGAUGCAUCUGAGGGACGACGGCACAGCUAGCUAGCCAAACUUAUAAUAACACACAAUUGAGCAGGAGUAGCACUGAUGCUAAUGCAGUGUUAAUAUUUGUAACGAUUACAGUAUGUGGGGGCAGGGUUAUGCUGAGUGGUGGCUCCAGUGUGUCAUCGACCCAUCGUUUCAGACUCACCCAUAAAAUCCUGAAAAUUAAACUGAUGAAAAACUGUGAAACGGUCAAACUCCACAAUGCAGUAAUACAUAGUUCUUUUCACAUGUUUUCAGGAACUAUUUUCUAGCAUAAAUAAUGUGUUUAGGGACCAAUCUCUGAAUUAGCUUUACACAGACCUUAAGAGGUUUUGUAUUUGGUAUCUUUUGGUGUAAAUAGUUGUAUCUUCUGGAAAGUAACAUAACAGGAAUUUUGACAUGGGGAUAAAGUGAGCAUAUUGUAUAUUUCACAUACAUAAUAAAUCCAGUUUGUCUUAAAAUAUUACAGUUGUAAUAAUAAUAAUAAUUGCAGAUUGUAUUGCAUUUCUCUGUAAUAAUUAUCAAAACAAAUAAGUAAUGUUUCUCAUUGACACUUUACUUCUAGUCUUUCCUAUUUUUUUUCUCUUCCUCCAUUUUGUCCUCUUCAACCAUUUUGUUCAUUUCCUUUACAAAUAAUACAGAACAUUCAAAACUACUGUGAUCAACUAGGUUGAUCAACCUCUUUGAAUAAUUUGAUUAAUUCUGUCAUUUGGUACAGAUCAUUACAUGAAAUGUAAUGGAGAAAUCCUAUUUUAAGCAAUAUGCAGUUAUUGUUCAUACAGUCACAUAAAGAUAUUAAGGUAUGUUUUGUGUAAAUUAUGCAAUUAGUAUUAGGUAUCUAAAUGAACAUGGGAAAAUUUGUAAAAAAAAAGAGAAAAAAGGAUUAAAAAAUCAUAACAUCUGAAUAUGAUUAAUAUAUAAUGAAUUUCCCCAUUUCCCUGACUGAUGUGUUAUCCCCGUGAGUGUGUGCAGUUUGAGGCAGUAAAUCUAAUGGAUUCAUGGUGUCAAGUGUAUCCAGGGUGCGCUCUAGCAGCACAUCAUGUUUUGCAGAUAUGUGCUGAAUCACUCCAAAUCAUUAUGUGCUGCCACUGUGAGCCCUGGGAUUCCCAGCAAUGUACUGGGAGCUGCUCCCAGUCACACUUGACAUGUCUUACACUUGUGACUUAAGUAACUCUUGUUAUUUCUUCUUCUUAAAGGUCAGAGGUAGCCCAUCUGUCUAUGUGGGUAUGUGUGAUGUUUCUGCUGUGUGAGAAGUCUCAUCUGCAUCACUGUGUCAUCUGAUACAUCAGUGUAGCUCUUACAGUUUUUUUCCAAAUUCUAAUUCUCUGUGACAAGUACAGUUUCUUUUGUUAAAAAAACAGCCAAAAACAUUAUUCUCAGCAAAAUCGAAGUAUUUACUCUGGUAUUGUAAAAAUAGGCCAAUACAAUACCAAUCACAAAUUCUGAUGGUGUUUAUUAUUGCUGGUGUGUGUUAUCAGCCCUGCAUCAGUCAGUGAGUGUGUUAACUUGACGCGUUGGUCAACCUUUAACCACAACACUGUUCCUGUAACUGACCAACAAUGUCCUAUUUAGUCUUCAGUUUUCUUUCUGUGGGAUCAUAUCAUCCCACCAGUUCUCACUUACAGGAAUGUUCUUUAAAUUAGUGUCUUUAUCAUGAAACAAUCCAAAAUGAGACAAAUUACUACACUAGCAUCAAGAAAAUAGGAUUUGAAAAAAUUAAGAUAAAAAAGGUGGGCAUUUUUUCCUUAUAUAUUUUAAAAAACAAAAACAACAACUAACAACAAACAAACAACACAAAACAUCCUCUUUUUAACCUCCUCAUUAAUAACCUGUUAAUAACCCGUGUAAACCCACAGAACUCUCUUAGAUUUAUGCAGUGGGUAAUAGUGACAGGGUUAAAAUGCUGUUCAGCUCGCGACUGUUCUACUGUAUAUUACUACCUUCAUAAAAGCUAUCAGCAGGGAGAUUGUUUCCUCCCCAUUAACAUUCAUUAUUAAAAUAGGGGAACAGUUGAGAAGUGUGUUUCACUGUUGUUCUACCACCACCCCCAUAAACUCAUAUCAUUUUUCUGAACUAUUAAUGGCACUGAUGAAAUUAGUAGCAAAAUGAACCAAGUCAAUCAAGUUCAUUGAAAUGACAAUUUGUAGGACCCGAACUACAUAUUUCUGUGUAUGUAUUCUUGUGAGCGACUGUUCAUAGUCCACUAGGCCACUAGGGCUCAUAUGGUACAGUAGAAAAAGUACUGAUGUGGAAUUCUGUGCAAAUGACUCAAUAAAUGGAAGCAGUGAUUGAAAACCCAAGUCAACAGCCAAUAAUGCCAAUAAGCCAAUUAGGAAUGGGCUGGUUACCAGUUUCAACAUGACCCCUCCUCCUCGGGUUCGCGCGAGUAGUCAGCUCUGUUCAAGCUACCUGUAUUCAUGGUGGCAGAAUGAGGUGACCACCAGGCUGUGUGGGAAUAUUUUGGGUAUAGAAAGAAGACACAUGGUUGUGACUUGGAAAAGGGAGGUCAGCCGACUUGCAAGUUGUGCUUGCAAAGAGGUGGCGCUGUCUUGAAAUGAACGUAUGCAACAGCUACAAGAGUUUGCAUGUAUAGACUUGCUACUGUACUGCCAUAGAUAACAAUUAACUAGCUAACAUCACUCACUUUCCCCACUGAAGUACAAAUUUUCUGCAGAAUUAGACUUUGACUUAAGUACUAGAGCUGUAACUGCUUAAAGGUUAUCACACCGUCAGAAUUUCAUACUGGCCCAUGCCUAAAGCCAAUAAUGGAUGUGUGCUUUCAUCAACAGGUCUAUAUUAUAUGAGAUAAGUUAUAAUUUUUUUUCCUAUUAAUGACACUGCUUUGCACUCAAAUAAGUCAUUUCUGUUCUUGAAUUGCUUACAUUGUGGUCUUGAGCUAUUAACGUGCACACAAAAAUGAAGUAAAUCUAUGACAUCCAUUAUUAAAAUAUUAGAGCAAAGCAUGUCCAAAAUCAAAAUCAGCUCUGCAUAGUCAGUGAACAACUGAUUAGCUGCUAACUAGUAGUAGUAGUCAAAGCUGAUGUUCAAUGUAGCAUCACAACGGUAUAAAAAUACUUAGUGUUGAGGGGACAAGGACAGAUGUAUGAUAAUCUAAUGAUGUUAAUAUGGUUAAUACAAUAAUAAAUGUAGUAUCUGUAGGCAUCUUAGCACCAAAACACAGCUGCUGACCUGGUGCUUACAUACUGUGCUUUUUCCCUAACUGAGCAGAGUUGAUACAACAAUCUGUAGUAUCAGUUCCUGUUGUUACAGUAACUGCAAUUAUUCAAGAGCUAGCUGUUAAUUUUAGAAUACAUAGAACUAAUUUGUAUGCACAUUUUAAAAAUAAAAUAAUCAAGCUCAUCCUAAACUAAAGAAUAUUUGGAAUCAUGAAAAUUAAUGGUAGGGACAUACUACAAAGAAAUAUUUGCAGAUGUCAAAUAAGCAAAAAUGUCCUUGGUCAUUCUAAUAGAAGUUUAUAUGUUUACAUUUUGCUUUAAUGUCUUGAGUUGCAGUUUAUCUGUUCUAGCUGUGCUGUAGUAACUACUCUAAGUAUGGUGCAGGUGCAGGGGUACCAGUGCUUAUAAUAGCCUGAUUAUGACUGAGUAUCAUACUGGCCCCAAGUGUCAGCAAUCACUGAAGGAGCAACAACCUGCACUACAUUUUUUCCCCAGGAGGUGGAUGUGUCAAAACCUUGUAAAAAGUUGACUGCCACGCCCGUCACUGUAAACGAAGUUCUCUUCAGUCAUCAGUAAAGGUUUUAGAGAUGCACCUAAAGUUACAGUUAAACUUCAUUCAUUAACACAUUGUUGGUAAUAUUUCUACAGAAACAGCCCCUUUAAGCUAAAAUAAAUGAAAACACCUAGAAGAUGAAUUAUCCAUGUUAAAUCUUGAGAUACGUUGCAGCCCCACUGAAAAGACACUUAAGUUACAGAUGGAGCAGUUUGUUGAAAUGGAUUGCUGCAUCUCAAACAUGAUGGAGAACAGGUUACAUGAAUAUCACGAGAGAGUUUUGUAUCAUAUAAUAAAUAUUUUCAGUGUAAGAGUUUUUGUGGACCUUUUGACUUUAUUUUAAAAUUAAAACCAUGACCGACUGUCAAACCAUAUCUAUCCUUACACAAAUCAAAAUGAUGUGGAUUGAUGAUUGUGUGUGUGUGUGUGUGUGUUUGUGUGUGUGUGAGGCUAUAGCAGCACAUCAUUACUGGUAUUUCUCUCUGCAUUGCCAGUAUGAUAUGUGCUGCUCCUGUCAGACAUACACUCCUCUCCAUCUUCCUACAACAUAUAAAUAUAUUUUUUAAUGUAUAUUUAUGUAUUUGUACCUUUUCUAUUUUUCCUAUAUCCAAUGACUAUAUAUUUGCACAGAGUAAUUAUUUAACAUCAGGUAUUAGGUUGACAAUUUGGAUAAUGAUUGUUAAACUGUAAUAAAAGCCCAGUAUUUGGAAAACAAA